UCAUCCCGGUCGCGGGAACGAGAGAUCGAUCCCUUCAGUUCGGCUGGACCGGAGACAGGUGCUGCAUGGCUGUCGUCAGCUCGUGUCGUGAGAUGUUGGGUUAAGUCCCGCAACGAGCGCAACCCUCGCCCUUAGUUGCCAUCAUUCAGUUGGGCACUCUAAGGGGACUGCCGGUGAUAAUCCGCGAGUAAGGUGGGGAUGACGUCAAGUCCUCAUGGCCCUUACGGGCUGGGCUACACACGUGCUACAAUGGCGGUGACAGUGGGAUGCAAUGGAGUGAUCCUGCGCAAAUCUCAAAAAGCCGUCUCAGUUCGGAUUGUGCUCUGCAACUCGAGCACAUGAAGUUGGAAUCGCUAGUAAUCGCAGAUCAGCACGCUGCGGUGAAUACGUUCCCGGGCCUUGUCACACCGA
rnacentral:rRNA from 1 species